rnacentral:lncRNA from 1 species
AUUUGGAUCAGGUCUCCUCUCAGUCUUCUUUUCUCAAGGCUAAACAGACCCAGUUCACUUAGCCUUUCUGCAUAGGGAAAAUGCUCCAGGCACCAUCUUUGUACCAUCUUUGUGCCCUCCGCUGGACUCCUUCCAAGAGAUCCCUGUCUUCUUUGUACUGGGGAGCCCAGAACUGGACACAGUACUCCAGAUGAGGCCUUACCAGGGCAGAGUAGAGGGGGAGGAUCACCUCCCUCGACCUGCUGGCCACGCUCUUUUUAAUGCACUCCAAAAUGCCAUUGGCCUUUUUGGCCACAAGGGCACACUGCUGGCUCGUGGCCAACCUGUCGUCCACCAGGACACCCAGAUCCCUCUCUGCAGAGCUCCAAUCCAGCAGGUCAUCCACCAACCUGUAUCGGUGCAAGCGAUUAUUCUUCCCCAGAUGCAAGAAACUACACUUGCUUUUGUUAAACCUCAUCUGGUUUCUUUCUGCCCAGCUCUCCAGCCUGUCCAGGUCUCGCUGAAUGGCAGCACAGCCUUCAGGUGUGUCAGCCAAUCCUCCCAACUUCGUAUCAUCAGCAAACUUGCUGAGGAUGGCCACUAUCCCCUCAUCAAGGUCAUUGAUGAAGAUGUUGAACAGGACCGGUCCCAGCACCGACCCCUGGGGAACACCGCUGGUUACAGGCCUCCAACCAGACUCUGCACCGCCAAUGACAACCUUCUGUGCUCAGCCAGUCAGCCAGUUCUCAACCCACCUCACUGUCCACUCAUCUAUCCCACACUUCCUCAGCUUUGUUAUAAGGAUGUUGUGGGAGACAGUAUCAAAUGCCUUGCUGAAAUCAAGGUAGACUACAUCCACUGCUCUCCCCCCAUCCACCCAGCCAGUGACAUUGUAGAAGGCUACCAGGUUGGUCAAGCACGACCUCCCCCUGGUGAACCCGUGCUGACUACUCCUGAUAACCUCCUUUUCUUCCAGUUGUCUGGAGAUGGCAACCAGCACAAACUGUUCCAUCACCUUUCCAGGGACAGACAUGAGGUUGACUGGCCUGUAAUUACCUGGAUCUUCCUUCUUGCCCUCUUUGAAGGAGUGACAUUGGCUAUCCUCCAGUCUUC